rnacentral:snRNA from 1 species
AGCUUUGCGCAGUGGCAGUAUCGUAGCCAAUGAGGUUUAUCCGAGGCGCGAUUAUUGCUAAUUGAGAUUUGGAGGAGAAUG